GUCCACGCCGUAAACGUUGGGCACUAGGUGUGGGUUUCAACCAACGAAAUCCGCGCCGUCGCUAACGCAUUAAGUGCCCCGCCUGGGGAGUACGGCCGCAAGGUUAAAACUCAAAGGAAUUGACGGGGGCCCGCACAAGCAGCGGAGCGUGUUGCUUAAUUCGAUGCAACGCGAAGAACCUUACCUGGGCUUGACAUGUACGGAAAAGCUGUAGAGAUACAGUGUCCUUAGGGGCCGUACACAGGUGGUGCAUGGCUGUCGU
rnacentral:rRNA from 1 species